CACACCAGACCCCUGGCUGAGGUAGUAGUUUGUGCUGUUGGUUGGGUUGUGACAUUGCCCGCUAUGGAGGUGACUGCGCAAGCUACUGCCUUGCUAGUGCUGGCGACGCGCUGCGGACACGAAGACCACGAC
rnacentral:miRNA from 1 species